GUGGCAUUUUCUCCCCCAAACUUUUCUUUUGGCACAGCCUGAGAGUGAAGGAAAAGGUUUUGGUUCCUUGUGACAACUCGGAGAUUGUGAGGGCUGAGCUGUCCUCUGGUGGCACUCAGCCCCAUGCCCAGCGGGCAUGUAAUGCACACUCAACGGUGGAGAUAACUGAGUGGGAGGUGACAGUCGUGUCAGAGGCUGUGAGAAGCCGUGGCUGCUCACCACCGAGAUGGAGCUAAUUAUACCGGUACCCGGGGCUGACCGUGGGCGCUGAGCAGAGGCAGAGGGGUACAGCUCUGCUGUAGGAUCAGUGGGGACCCGUAGGAGGUGGCAUUUGUCACCGUACCUGCGGAUCAGAGCAAGGCCGGGCACCCAGCCAAGACCUCGCUGGGCUAUCUCCCUUUAUACAACCCUGAUGUAAGGUAUUAUGUCGCUCCCUUCCUUUCAGAUGCGAAAACUGAGGUUGCCAGAGGGCCAGAGAUCAUGCGGCUAGUGACCGGACAAGCAAGACGCCAGACUGUGCUGGUUUGAUUCUAAAGCUUAUGGUUUAACCAUCUUGUCUCACAGAUCCUUGCAACAAUCCUGAGAAGCAGGUAUUUUGAUGUCCGUUUCACAGAUGCGCGGCAGAGACUAAAUAGUGAAAUCGAUACUACUCAGAAAGCAUGAAAUUAGUGACUACCGUUUAUAUGGCACCUGACAAUCUGCAAAGCAGUUUUACAUAAGUUGUUUCCUUUGAUUGCAGAAACAGCUUGGACCUGAAGAGAUGGAUAUAAGGUUGUCAUGGUUAAGGAUUUGCCCAAGGUCAACACAGGAACCAGAAGCCGGAUCCAGCUUUCCUCACUCCGAAUCCCAUCCUCUGUCUACCACUCUGCACUGUCAGAUUCCAUUACUUGACCUUGUGAUGAUGACAAGUCCAUGGUGAGAGUCCAUGAGGGUUCAAGGUGGGUAGCAGACCUCCUUCCUGCCCCACUGCAAGGUGGCAAGCCGUGUUUACCUUUACUUCCCUGGGCUCUGGGGAAAGGUAACGCCUGUAGUUCUCCUCCUGAGGAACAUUCUCCUACUCCUCCCUGCCUUCCCCGUUUAUUCCAGCCCCUGAAUACCUCUCCCUCCUCCAGCCCCCAGGGGGCUUACACUCAGCACCCUUGAUUAUUAAAGAGAAAUGGUCUCCAUGUGGGCAGUGACUGUCGUGGCUGGCCAGCUAUCUGCCAAACCCCUCUCCCUGCCUUCUGCAGUCAUGUGGCUGCCCAGCUAAACUUCACUGCUCAGCCCCACUCGCAGUGAAGGACGGCUGGGUAGCUAAGUUCUUGUCUAAGGAAUUGGCGUGUGAAACUUCAGGCCAGGCCUUUACUCAGUAGGCCUGCCUCCUCCCUGCACUUUGUCCUUCUCGCCAGCUGGACCCAGCCUUGACCUUGUCAUGAUGAUGAGGUGCUGGGGGAUGACAGCACCACAACACCGAAGGUGCCGGUGUCCCCAAAGGAGCACUUGGAGCAGAAAGCUACCCGCUGAUGGGGAAUACUUCCUCGUCACUUCAUACUCUGAUGUGAAAGCGAAUUAAUCUUUGUUCUCCAUGGGCCAUUAACUUCUGGGGAGUGGGGGGAAAGGGGCAUCUAGUAGAGCGAGCCCUGCACUUACACAGCCUGGGGUGACACCUCCUUAAUUUUGUGCCCUGGUGCCUCACCUGCCUUGCCCUAGUUCUGGCCCUGUUCGGGCCACAUUUGUCCGAGGAAUGCGUCACUCGUUUUAGCUUUAUACUACUUCGUCCUUUUCUCCUGAUAUGCCAGUGCAGCUUCUUUAAUUGCAAGUUUCAGGAACCAAUCUGGCUAACUUCGGCAGAAAAGGAGUUUAUGGGCAGGCUGGUGGCUAACUCACAGGCGUGACAGGAAGCCGAGAGCCAGGUGGGAAAAGACAGAGACUGGAGAUGCUGUGGGUGUUGAGGUAGGCAAAAUGCAUUAGCCCCAUCCUUCCCCGCCCCCUCCGCCCCGCCCCUUUCUAGAACAGAUCUUUGUCUGAUCACAAUCAGUCUCUGAGGGGCACCUGGAUGGCUCAGUCAGUUAAGUGUCCGACUUCAGCUCAGAUCAAGAUCCGGGGUCGUGGGUUCGAGCCCCGCGUUGAGAUCUGUGCUGUCAGCCCGGAGCCUGCUUUGGAUUCUGUUUCUCCCUCUCUCUCUGCCCCUCCUCCUCCCUCUCUUUCUCUCUCUCAAAAAUAAAUAAACAUUAAAAAAAAAAAGAAUCAAAGUCCCUGGUGCCAGAGUCCGGUUGGCUGAGCUCAGUAACGUGUUCUCUCCCCUUAGCUAAGGAGGGCAGGCACCCUGACUGAUGGCCCCACUGAGGGAAGAAUUCCCCAUUCCUCCACCUCCACCCCUGCUACCCCUGGGCAGCUGAGGCCAGGUGCCUGUUUACAGGAUGGGAUCAAGUAGGAGAAGAACCUGAAGCUGAAUGUCAUGAUUACAUAAACCCGACACAGUAUCUGGCCCAUGGUAGAGCAUAGUCGUUAAGAGGCCUGUGCCUUGUAACCAGACAGAGCUCUCUGUUACUUACCAGCUGGGUGUUCUUGUGUAAAUUACUCGAUCUCUGUGAGCUCGGUCUCCUCAUUUGUACAGUGGGGAUAAGAACAGCACUGUCCUUGGGGUGCCUGGGUGGCUUGGUCGGUUAAGCAGCCGACUUCGGCUCAGGUCAUGAUCUCACGGUCCGUGAGUUCGAGCCCUGCGUCGGGCUCUGUGCUGACAGCUCAGAGCCUGGAGCCUGUUUCAGAUUCUGUGUCUCCCUCUCUCUGACCCUUCCCUGUUCAUGCUCUGUCUCUCCCUGUCUCAAAAAUAAAUAAAACGUUAAAAAAAAAUUAAA